rnacentral:rRNA from 1 species
UACGAAGGGGGCUAGCGUUGCUCGGAAUUACUGGGCGUAAAGGGCGCGUAGGCGGACAUUUAAGUCGGGGGUGAAAGCCCAGGGCUCAACCCUGGAAUAGCCUUCGAUACUGGAUGUCUUGAGUACGGGAGAGGUGAGUGGAACUCCGAGUGUAGAGGUGAAAUUCGUAGAUAUUCGCAAGAACACCAGUGGCGAAGGCG